ensembl:snRNA U2 U2 spliceosomal RNA
AUCUCUUGUCAGCCUUUUGGCUAAGAUCAAGUGCAGUAUCUGUUCUUAUCAGUUUAAUAUCUGAUAGGUCCUCUAUCUGAGGUCAGUAUAUUAAAUGGAUUUUUGGAACUAGGAGUUGGAAUAGGAGUUUGCUCCAUCCACUCCAUGCAUCGAUCUGGUAUUGCAGUACCUCCAGCAAUAGUAUGCCCCUG